rnacentral:tRNA from 1 species
GGGCCCGUAGCUCAAUGGUAGAGCGACAGCCUUUUAAGCUGUGCGUUGAGAGUUCGAAUCUCUCCGGGCUCACCA